rnacentral:tRNA from 1 species
GCGGGAAUAGCUCAAUUGGGAGAGCGUUAGUUGUUUACGCAACAAUCAUCUAAAGGCCCCCGGCUCAAUCCCAGGUUCCGGCA